CCUACGGGAGGCAGCAGUGAGGAAUAUUGGUCAAUGGACGCAAGUCUGAACCAGCCAUGCCGCGUGCAGGAAGACGGCUCUAUGAGUUGUAAACUGCUUUUGUACGAGGGUAAACGCAGAUACGCGUAUCUGUCUGAAAGUAGCGUACGAAUAAGGAUCGGCUAACUCCGUGCCAGCAGCCGCGGUAAUACGGAGGAUUCAAGCGUUAUCCGGAUUUAUUGGGUUUAAAGGGUGCGUAGGCGGUCGGAGAAGUUAGAGGUGAAAUCCCGAGGCUCAACUUCGGAAUUGCCUCUGAUACUGUUUGGCUAGAGAGUAGUUGCGGUAGGCGGAAUGUAUGGUGUAGCGGUGAAAUGCUUAGAGAUCAUGCAGAACACCGAUUGCGAAGGCAGCUUACCAAGCUACUACUGACGUUGAGGCACGAAAGCGUGGGGAGCAAACAGGAUUAGAUACCCUUGUAGUC
rnacentral:rRNA from 1 species